AAAUUGAAGAGUUUGAUCAUGGCUCAGAUUGAACGCUGGCGGCAGGCCUAACACAUGCAAGUCGAGCGGUAGCACAGAGAGCUUGCUCUCGGGUGACGAGCGGCGGACGGGUGAGUAAUGUCUGGGAAACUGCCUGAUGGAGGGGGAUAACUACUGGAAACGGUAGCUAAUACCGCAUAACGUCGCAAGACCAAAGUGGGGGACCUUCGGGCCUCAUGCCAUCAGAUGUGCCCAGAUGGGAUUAGCUAGUAGGUGGGGUAACGGCUCACCUAGGCGACGAUCCCUAGCUGGUCUGAGAGGAUGACCAGCCACACUGGAACUGAGACACGGUCCAGACUCCUACGGGAGGCAGCAGUGGGGAAUAUUGCACAAUGGGCGCAAGCCUGAUGCAGCCAUGCCGCGUGUGUGAAGAAGGCCUUCGGGUUGUAAAGCACUUUCAGCGGGGAGGAAGGCGUUAAGGUUAAUAACCUCAUCGAUUGACGUUACCCGCAGAAGAAGCACCGGCUAACUCCGUGCCAGCAGCCGCGGUAAUACGGAGGGUGCAAGCGUU
rnacentral:rRNA from 1 species